rnacentral:rRNA from 1 species
AUGCAGCCCGAGAUGUGUCGUGCCACGGACAUACCGAAGAACGUGCUUGACCAAGGCGAGAUGGCACUCGCGCGGGUCAUGCAUAUGCAGGCAGACCUGCUGCACAGCGUAGGCGAUCUCAGGCCUGGUGAUGGUGAGGUACUGCAGCGUGCCUGUGGUGCUGCGGUAGGCGGAGGCGUCAUCCACACGGGGCCCGUCGACAGCGGGAAGCUUGCCCUUGGUGUCGACGUGCGUGGGAGAGGGCCGACAGGUGUCCAUGCCAGCGCGAUCAAGCACGUCCUCCUUAUACUGUUGUUGAGAGAGGAAGAACCCCACGGAAGUGCGCGUGACCUUGAUGCCGAGGAAGAAGUGCAGUGGCCUGAGGUCCUUCAUGGAGAACUCGCCGGUGAGCCCGGCGAUGAUGCGUUGGAGCAUAGACGGCAUAGACGCGGUGAGCACAAUGUCAUCAACGUAGAGAAGAAGGUACGCCGUGUCCGAGCCAUGGCGAAGCGUGAACAGGGAGGAGUCCGAGCGCGUGGCGGAGAAGCCAAGAGUCUUGACGAAGCCCGCGAAGCGAAGGAACCAGGCGCGGGGCACAUGCUUCAAGCCAUAGAGCGACUUGAAGAGACGGCAGGCAUGUUGAGGACGAGCUGGGUCGACAAAGCCGGCGGGUUGAAGACAGAAGACCUCCUCGUCCAGAGUGCCGUGCAGGGAGGCAUUCGAGACGUCGAGCUGGUGCACGGGCUAGUCCCGCAACGCGGCGAGCGUGAGGACCGUGCGGAUGGUGGCGAGCUUGACGACCGGCGAGAAGGUCUCGCCGUAGUUGACGCCAGCACGCUGGCGAAAAUUGCGCACGACCCAGCAAGCUUUGUAGCGGGCGAGGGAGCCGUCGGAGUUGGUCUUGUGCUUGAAAACCCAUUUGCCGGUGACGAGGUUGGCGCCAGCGGGACGCGGAACCAGUUUCCACGUGCGGUUGCGGACCAGCGCGUCGUACUCGUCGCACAUGGCGGCGAGCCACCGAGGAUCGCGGAUGGUAGCGCGAACGGAUGUGGGAACUGGCGAGAUGUCCAGUGA